UAGUGGCGAACGGGUGAGUAACACGUGGGCAAUCUGCCCUUCACUCUGGGACAAGCCCUGGAAACGGGGUCUAAUACCGGAUAUCACUCCUGCAGGCAUCUGUGGGAGUCGAAAGCUCCGGCGGUGAAGGAUGAGCCCGCGGCCUAUCAGCUUGUUGGUGAGGUAGUGGCUCACCAAGGCGACGACGGGUAGCCGGCCUGAGAGGGCGACCGGCCACACUGGGACUGAGACACGGCCCAGACUCCUACGGGAGGCAGCAGUGGGGAAUAUUGCACAAUGGGCGAAAGCCUGAUGCAGCGACGCCGCGUGAGGGAUGACGGCCUUCGGGUUGUAAACCUCUUUCAGCAGGGAAGAAGCGAAAGUGACGGUACCUGCAGAAGAAGCGCCGGCUAACUACGUGCCAGCAGCCGCGGUAAUACGUAGGGCGCAAGCGUUGUCCGGAAUUAUUGGGCGUAAAGAGCUCGUAGGCGGCUUGUCACGUCGGGUGUGAAAGCCCGGGGCUUAACCCCGGGUCUGCAUUCGAUACGGGCUAGCUAGAGUGUGGUAGGGGAGAUCGGAAUUCCU
rnacentral:rRNA from 4 species